rnacentral:lncRNA from 1 species
CUGUCCAAAAAAAUCUGUAAUUAGUUAGUUUUCGAUUCUUGAUUGAUGUUGGUAAGAUGAAUUGUUAUUUCCUACUAUUGACUUGGCGAGUAAAUUAAAUAGAUAAAUUAGUGGUAGUGAUUCUUUGUCCUUAGUAAAUGUGCUCUGGGAUAACCUCAUGAUCCGUAGCAGUGCUUGUGUGCUAGUCCAUUGAGUUAUACAGGGAAGGAUUCUUUCCUCUCUUUUCAUUGUAGAUAUUGUGGUGGUAUUAAGUAUUUAUGGUGUUUAUAUUAGAUGAUCUUUGAAGUGCCUCGCCAUAAAGUGUUUGUUUAGUGGUCCCAUUAUUUAUAAUAAUAUGACAAAGAUUAGGUUCGAGGUGCAGAGUAGACUAAGAGUGUAUUAAUAUUUUAUAGGUCAUGUGAUUGUGUUGGGGAAUACGUAAGACAGGUGUAGUGUUAUUGUAAAUAGAUUAGUGAGUUGAUUCUAUCAGUAUGCUUCUAUUGUUUUUAAUUGUAUGCUGAAUUUGAUGCUUUCCUUUAGUACGUAGUGCUAUUUUAGUGGUUGAUUUUAGGAUUAAUCAGUUAUCGUCGUGUGAAGGUUAGGUUUAGAUGUUUAUUAUGCGAUGAAAAUAUCGGUAAACCUAGGUGAAGUAUAGUUGAGUUAGAUCCGUUUAAGCUAGAAAAGUGUGCUUGUUGUACUUGGUGAUAUAUCGAUAUCUAAUAUUUGCUUAUGUGUGUUGUAAUGUGCAUCGCCGUUAAAUAAGCAAUUCUCUAUUACAUAGCAUUAUUAUAGUUUGUGUUAUUUUCUAUAUGAUUCAUGCAUGCACAUUAUGCAUCUCAUUAGGUACGCUAGCUGAUCACGUGAGGCGGAGUUCAAGAGCCGAGUUGAUCUCAAGAUGAUGAAAUGAUGAACUACUCCGACAAACGAUGUUGACGAAUCGACCUAAUGAGAGAUGGACCUAUCAAGUGCCGAGAUGAAUAUGGUCACCAAGUGGUCAUCAAUUAACAACACUAACGUAGUGUUAUCCCAGGCAAGCCCCGGUGCAUUUGCCACCUCCUUGUUGUUUUAAAACUUUUAUCACUUAUAUGCUGCAUUAGGUGAUAGGAGUUGAGUGAUGAAACAGUUGAUGCAUUGCCAUUCCUUGGAAUUUGAUUAUCCUCCUUGAUACCUGUUUUACAAAAAGAACUAAUGAGGCUUAGCCCUGCCUAGAGAAUUAAAACUUGUUUCUUUUUAAAAGAAUGAUGUGUGACACUCGGUAUGGGUUUGUUUUAUGAAAAUGGACUUGUAAUGGUGAGCGCAUCAUCUGCAGUGAUGAAUUCAUCAUUCAAGUAUAGUACCUCUGUCAGGUACAUGGUUUGGGUGUUAAAUAAUAAGAUGAGACCAGACGUUGAGCAGGAAAGGUCGCCCGUCUGUGUCGAUUAAGGACCGUUCCGAUUGUUGGUCUGCUGAUCUAGGACCCUUUAACUGGCCACAUGCCUCAUCAUGGGUAAGCUUAGCCUCGGCUGGACCAAUACCAGAAAGGCCGGCCCGCAAUGGGAGUGGAGAGAUGGCGAGAGUAUCGUGUAUCCACCUGGCAAGAGGCUGGAUGGUGGGGUAUUGAGCUCUCGGUUGGCGGGGACCCAUUCUGGUCUUGAGAAACCCGGUGGCGAGUUGACAUAUGCAAGGGUUAAGUGCUACAUAUGUCGUGUGGUUGGAGAUCCCCAGCUGGGUAUUAAUCGAUUCGGAUCGCCGAACUUCUCGGAUAUGAAGACUGGAUCUUCGACCUUCAGCGUAGAUAACAAGUGAAACUAAAACUGCUAAAAUAAAGUUAGUGUGGGACAAGUGAAUGCUCUAGAUUAGACAAAUCUAGAUUAAGGAAAAGUACUUAACUUGUGAAGUAAAAUUUUGGCAUAAGGAUCCACUACUAGUAAGCUUUUCUGCAAAAACGAGUCUUUGAAAUUUGAUGAGCCUUACCUUGAAUCCUUUUAAACCCAGCAUAUCCUUGAGAGUCUUUUCUUUAGUCGGGUAAGUCUUGCUGAGUAAUUGCGUACUCAGGGUUUUAUUCCCUGUUGUUUUUCAGGUUAUAUUUUUGUUCUGUUGUGGAUGGUGCUAAGUGCCGGUGGGCUCAGCCUUCUUAUAUAAGUAUAUCCCAUCUUUAGCUUCUUUAUUGAGGACUGUCACUUAAGCUAGCAUGUAUUUUAAAACUUAUAAAUGUUUUAUACAUUCAAAUUGUAAUAUUUUUGAAUCAAAUUCUCUUGUAAUCACUCCAAUGAUAUAUUGUAAUAUAGUAUAACUUGUAAAUGUUGUAACUUGUAAUCAUUUUGUAAUAAAGAAUUUAUUUCCGCUGCAAGUGUUUGUAUGUGAGUUGUAUUUACUUAAUCCUGCGAUCUUGGCGGCAAGUCGUUUAUUCGGGGUCCUCGGGGCACUCGGACAGAUCCUGUUAAGUUGUUUGGUGCACACGCAUAGCUGUCUGAGGUCUUUGAGACAAGGACAGGUGCAUGUGGGCCCGAUAACUUGGGAGGUUCUGCGACAGCUGGUAUCGGAGCAGAAUUAAGUAUAAUACGGUCACAUACGUGUUUUCAAAAUAAAGUUUUGGUUUGGAAAACCCAUUUUCAACUAAAUAUAUUGUUUGGUUAAAAAACAGAUUUGAAAAAAACUAUAAUGCUAGCGACAUCCUCUGUUAAGCCCUAAAAUUAAGGACUACUAGGUGGCUUAGUUCAGAAUACUAACCCACAACCUGGGAAGAGAAUUGCAUACAUGUGUAUUGUUAUUUUUGAGGCCAUUUAGUUUUGAAUGGAUCGACGCUCAGGUAAGGUGAGAUGUGAGAGCAUGACCGAACAAACGUCGGUCUAGGGGAGAGUAUAAAAAGCGCUUGAUUAUAUACAUGUUACACAUAUGUAUAUAUGAAGGCUGCGAUGUGGAGUAAUUACUUUUCUGGGGAUUCAGUACCUCAUAGAUGUGUAUGGGCAUACAGACUUGGGACUACUGAGAAAUGUAAUGUACUCGCAACGACGCAUCUACGCUCAGGUAAGAAGAGUGUGGCAGCGGCGUCUAUGCGUGGCUCGGCGCUUAAUGAGGAGCUGGCCUCCAUAUAGAAAUAUAUGGAGUAUAAACUGUGAUAAACUUUCAUAUGUGAAUUGCAUCAUUGGGAAAUGGGCUGUGAUGAAGUUUUCUGCAGGUACACUAACUUCGAAACGUAUGUGUAGCUGACGACUAGCAAUAUAUCGAGAGAGAACGUAGGUAUGCCACCGAUAUAGAACGCUAUUGCCACGUUAUGUGGGCAAAACUGGUGAGACCGAAUAGGACGAGCAUGCAUCCUGAUUGUUGCAUUGUGUCUGUUUUUUGCGCACAGAAAUGCUUCCCUCACCUUUAUUCUAAUAAUAGGUGAUUGUGAACGAACACGCUUUUCUCGUCUUUAUUCCGAUAAUAAAUAAUUGGAAAAUGUGUGAAGCAUUACUGUCCUAUAAGCAAAUUUCUAGUUUUGUUUGUUGGAUCCUUUAGACAUGUCUUUAUGUGGUUUGUGGUUCUUCUUAAUUUGACCGCUAGUCCAACUUGUGUUUGUUAUGGUAUGUUUGUGUAAACUAAAAAUCUGGCCAUGUCCUCACCUAGGAGCCAUGACCCAAAUUGAUGUUAAUUCCCCAAAAUUUUCCCCGGUUUCCAGAUGUGUAUGAGUCUGAAUUUUUCCGUCGUUACUUCGUAAUCAAGCUCAUAUAAAUAGAUGUUUAGGUAAUCUCCUUGUUGGACAAAAGAUGCAUUCGAUCUUAAGGCAAAGAUCUCGAGUCUGUGUUCCUAAUAAUUAAUUCAAAACUAUUUUGUGGUUAUAUUUUCAUUCUAAACCAUGCCCUUGUUCGGUUGGUGUAAGCUGGUAUUCCUAUUCCAGUUUGCCUCUCCUUGAGGAUCACAUUGUUGCUUUCUUAAUCUAACCUGGGAAAGCCAUGUCCAAUCAUUUCUUGUACUGGAUGUCUUUGGGUUCCUCAUAUCUCUUAAAGGCAUACCAAUUUAAUCUUCUGAUCAUUUUCCCUCUGAACCUAAUCGGACACUAAUCCUCGACCUUGUAAUAUCUGCGAUGGCCAUAGAAAUAUGCUGGGGCUGAAAUCACAGUCUCACAUCAUACUCCUUUCAUCAAGUUUAGGUUAUGGCCAUGCCUUGUUCACUUCAUCGGGCCAUGAUCUAUUGGCUCUCUACUUGUAGCCAUUUUGACUGGGGGAGUCUCUUUUGUAUAUAGUCACCCUUGCUUAGUCUAUCUGUGCCAUGCGAGAUUUCUUAUUGGUUAUGUCAGAUAAUGGUGUUAUGACUAAAACUGGUGGUGCUGUGACGAAAUCGAGGGCCUUCUGUAGGUGCGCACACAUGGUUGUGCUACUCGGCACGCGCUGGUAUCACAGUUAGUAGUUGUAAUCCAUUGGCACAAUCUAUUUUUGCUACGUCUACGUGAGAUUGUUAUUGGUGUCAGUUCGGUAGUGGUGUCACGAUUAAGGACUUAUGGUGCCGCAGCGAAACUGAGAGCCUCCUUUGAAUGCGCACACAGGGAUGUGCUACUCGUCGGAUGCUGGUAUCAAGGUCUCUAGUCAUGAUCCAUUGUGAAACUACACUGAUGUGUGAUCUUCCGUGGACUCCUCCCUUGAAACAAUUUCUAUGUUGUUUGUCAAGUGAUCAAGCAACAUCUAUCAUCUCUAUUGGAUCAAACGGAUAUACCACUUUCAUGUGUGGUCGCAUGUCUUUUGACUCAAGUGGUGACUGCACACAUACAAGUUCCCUUUGCAUCCUUUAUUGUAAAGGUGAAGCCUUGAAGCUUUUUAGUGUUGGGAGACAACCUCUUGAUAUGAUGUUCUCCACCUAGAACUACCUUAUGCUAUCACUGGUAUGGACAGGAGUUACAUGUUUCUCUACUCUUAAAAGUCUUUCGCUCCGAAUCUCGGGACGAGAUUCUUUUAAGGGGGAAGGGUUGUAACACCCCAGGUGUUUAUCGUCUGCUCGACCACUAGUGCGGACGUUAACACGUGAUAGUUGUGAAUGUAAAGGUCACUAAUUUUUAAUCAACCUCGUUUAUCACGAUUUUGAUAUCGUGUCUAUCUCCAUCUGUCUAAAUUGUCCUAAUUUAUUUUGUAAAAUUCAGACUUUGGUAAUUUUCGGAACAUCGAAUCCAAUAUCGUUUGGGUUGAGCCAUCGACGUCUUGCCCAAACUCUAAUCCUUGAAAUUGAAUCUGGUUCCUUAAAUUUCGUUUGAAAUUCUUUCACGCUUGCGUUGCACGUGUCUCUCUGUGGCCUGACAUUGUGACGCGUGUGGCAGGCGUAACCCUGUGUGUGACAACGCACAGCUUCUCACUUACGUGAAAGACACGUAUCGUCUCCACGGAGGUCCCUGUGUGCACCUUAUCUCCCUACCGCUAUCCCUUUCGUUUAUCCAAAUCGGCCACCGAUUCAACUCUUCACUACGUGUCGCGCCUUCCGUCACUCCACUGCCGCAUGUCUGACGUGCUAGCGAGUGUAAAAUUGGGAAUCGACUGAUUUCAUAAAUCUGGACUGCGCGUGCUAUUCGAGGAAAACACACUCAAAGUCGAUAACCGAGGUUGGUUUCAUCCUGCACGCUAAUUAUGGUAGAGAAAUCCAAGUAUUUGGUUGCGGGCGAAUUUAUUCGAUCCCAGAUAAAUCAAUGGAACAAUACCAUCUUGUCCCAGAUAAAUUAAGCGGAUCUCGGCAACUAAAGUUUUUGGUGCAAAAUAAUUUUGUCUCCGCUCGUCAGCUGAGAAAUCACAUUUGAGGAUUUAUCAUUAAGAUUUAUUCCUUCAGUAAAUUAUCUGACUUUAAAUCAAAUCAAGCGUACUCUGUAAUUGUUUGACAGAUAUCUUUUGUUUUGUCCUAUUUACAUCUCGCUUAGAUUUAAACCACAAAACUAAAUCAUCCGUGUAUCUUUAAUUAAAAAAUAUAGAAAAUCCUCUUUAUCUCCAUGUCGGCCAACAUACUGUUAGCCUUAUCCAAUCAACACCCUACCUUGUUCAUUAUCUACUCUUUUCCUUGGAACAAAAAUCCCAUACGUUGCCUCCUCCCUUGCUGUGACGCACGGCUCCUGGAAGCCUCUCUCCCCACCGCAUCUUCUAUCUUCGGUUCCUUGCUCUGCACCGCCGCCUGCUCAUCCAUAUCCCAUGGUGCCCAGCCGAGCAGCCCAUGGAGGCUUCCCACGCCCAGCCCUCUCUACUGAUGGCCGCCGUCCCUACUCCAUCUUACGGCACUGCUCUCUGCCUCUCCCAUGGACGAGCUCGCCCUGCCCCCCAUCUCCUUCACCACGCUGCUCCCUGCCUCCUUGUUGGUCGGCCAUACCCUCUGCUCCUCCCCACCGUCCGCAGCCCCGACGUCGUCGCCGUGUUUAGUCAUGGUGAUUCCUAACCCCUUUAUUUUAUUUCACUAAUUCUUCUAAUGCGAGCAGAUUUUUAUUGAUGUUGAUAUGCGGUUAUGUGUAUUUGUGUGCGAGUGUGGCGGAGAGAAAGAUCUCAGGUUUUUGGAUGGAGAAGAAGCGAGGCCAGUGCGACGCUCGCUAUGUGCUCGACGUAAGGUCUAAACAUUAGAUCGUCGCUAUGUUUGCUUUCAUCCGAGUCAACUUAGUAGUGGUAUGACGCAUCGUUUUUACGACUAAUUUAAUUGAUGAAUAGAUUAAUAGUUAUAUUAGUCACGAUGGUUUCUUUUAUAUAGGCGGUGUGCGAGGUAUUGAUCUCUAGGUCUUUUGACAUGUCUGUGUGCUGCCCCUCGGUGUGCAGGGAAGCAUCCCCUUGUUUGUAUUUUAAUGGUGAUAAUUGUGGGUAUGUUAGGUGAUGUUAAAGUGUAUCCUCGCUUAUGAUGUGGUUAUUGUGUUAAUAAGUAGAUAUGUAGUAUUUGUUUCGUCAUAAUCUCGCUUAAGGAAUCUGAUUGUCCCUGAGUUCAAUUUUGCUGCACACAUCCUCUCUGUUGUGGUAAUAGUUGAGUGAAGAAAAUCGUGUUUUCUGUAGAAGUGUUAUAUAUAAAACUUGUAGAUAAUAUUUUUAUCUUGCUUGUGUAAAAAUUUCAUGACCAUAGGUUCAGUAGUUUAGGAGUUAUGAUUUUUCCAAGUCCAGUUUCAGAAUCUAUCCAAAUUCUGUACAGGUUUCAAAAGUUGGAUUGUUUGGCUAAGCUAAAAUGAGAAUCAACUCUUAGUAAUUAUAGGAGAAUUGUAGUACUUUUCUUAAGCUUUCCAACGAAAUUUGGAUCACCCUUUUUGGUGAUCUAUAAAUUAAGUUACAGCUGUUUGAGUUAGGAUCUCUGAAUCUGUCCCAAUUUGGACAGCAGAGCAUUUCUCAUAUUUUCUGACCUUGAUAUAUAUUAAAUUAACCUGGAAUGUUCAUAAAUGAAUUGUAGAGAAUUCUAUUAGCUUUCUAAAAAGUCUAGGAUCACCUGAUUUGGAUGUCUGAAACUCCCGUUAUGAAUUUUUGAAAUAAAGAGCCGAAUUCUGUCCAAAUCUGGACAGAAUUUAUGUUUAGUUCUGUUUGACCUUUCUACAGGUCGAAUCAUGCUGUGAUGAUAAUAGGAAAGUUAUAGAGGACUUUAUAAGCUUUCUAGAAAGUCUUAGGUAAAUAUUUUUGGAUUAAGAUCUUGUGAGUUAUGAGCAAAACAAUUGACUGCUGAAUGCUGUCCAAAAAAAAUCUGUAAUUAGUUAGUUUUCGAUUCUUGAUUGAUGUUGGUAAGAUGAAUUGUUAUUUCCUACUAUUGACUUGGCGAGUAAAUUAAAUAGAUAAAUUAGUGGUAGUGAUUCUUUGUCCUUAGUAAAUGUGCUCUGGGAUAACCUCAUGAUCCGUAGCAGUGCUUGUGUGCUAGUCCAUUGAGUUAUACAGGGAAGGAUUCUUUCCUCUCUUUUCAUUGUAGAUAUUGUGGUGGUAUUAAGUAUUUAUGGUGCUUAUAUUAGAUGAUCUUUGAAGUGCCUCGCCAUAAAGUGUUUGUUUAGUGGUCCCAUUAUUUAUAAUAAUAUGACAAAGAUUAGGUUCGAGGUGCAGAGUAGACUAAGAGUGUAUUAAUAUUUUAUAGGUCAUGUGAUUGUGUUGGGGAAUACGUAAGACAGGUGUAGUGUUAUUGUAAAUAGAUUAGUGAGUUGAUUCUAUCAGUAUGCUUCUAUUGUUUUUAAUUGUAUGCUGAAUUUGAUGCUUUCUUUUAGUACGUAGUGCUAUUUUAGUGGUUGAUUUUAGGAUUAAUCAGUUAUCGUCGUGUGAAGGUUAGGUUUAGAUGUUUAUUAUGCGAUGAAAAUAUGGGUAAACCUAGGUGAAGUAUAGUUGAGUUAGAUCCGUUUAAGCUAGAAAAGUGUGCUUGUUGUACUUGGUGAUAUAUCGAUAUCUAAUAUUUGCUUAUGUGUGUUGUAAUGUGCAUCGCCGUUAAAUAAGCAAUUCUAUAUUACAUAGCAUUAUUAUAGUUUGUGUUAUUUUCUAUAUGAUUCAUGCAUGCACAUUAUGCAUCUCAUUAGGUACGCUAGCUGAUCACGUGAGGCGGAGUUCAAGAGCCGAGUUGAUCUCAAGAUGAUGAAAUGAUGAACUACUCCGACAAACGAUGUUGACGAAUCGACCUAAUGAGAGAUGGACCUAUCAAGUGCCGAGAUGAAUAUGGUCACCAAGUGGUCGUCAAUUAACAACACUAACGUAGUGUUAUCCCAGGCAAGCCCCGGUGCAUUUGCCACCUCCUUGUUGUUUUAAAACUUUUAUCACUUAUAUGCUGCAUUAGGUGAUAGGAGUUGAGUGAUGAAAUAGUUGAUGCAUUGCCAUUCCUUGGAAUUUGAUUAUCCUCCUUGAUACCUGUUUUACAAAAAGAACUAAUGAGGCUUAGCCCUGCCUAGAGAAUUAAAACUUGUUUCUUUUUAAAAGAAUGAUGUGUGACACUCGGUAUGGGUUUGUUUUAUGAAAAUGGACUUGUAAUGGUGAGCGCAUCAUCUGCAGUGAUGAAUUCAUCAUUCAAGUAUAGUACCUCUGUCAGGUACAUGGUUUGGGUGUUAAAUAAUAAUAUGAGACCAGACGUUGAGCAGGAAAGGUCGCCCGUCUGUGUCGAUUAAGGACCGUUCUGAUUGUUGGCCUGCUGAUCUAGGACCCUUUAACUGGCCACAUGCCUCAUCAUGGGUAAGCUUAGCCUCGGCUGGACCAAUACCAGAAAGGCCGGCCCGCAAUGGGAGUGGAGAGAUGGCGAGAGUAUCGUGUAUCCACCUGGCAAGAGGCUGGAUGGUGGGGUAUUGAGCUCUCGGUUGGCGGGGACCCGUUCUGGUCUUGAGAAACCCGGUGGCGAGUUGACAUAUGCAAGGGUUAAGUGCUACAUAUGUCGUGUGGUUGGAGAUCCCCAGCUGGGUAUUAAUCGAUUCGGAUCGCCGAACUUCUCGGAUAUGAAGACUGAAUCUUCGACCUUCAGCGUAGAUAACAAGUGAAACUAAAGCUGCUAAAAUAAAGCUAGUGUAGGACAAGUGAAUGCUCUAGAUUAGGCAAAUCUAGAUUAAGGAAAAGUACUUAACUUGUGAAGUAAAAUUUUGGCAUAAGGAUCCACUACUAGUAAGCUUUUCUGCAAAAACGAGUCUUUGAAAUUUGAUGAGCCUUACCUUGAAUCCUUUUAAACCCAGCAUAUCCUUGAGAGUCUUUUCUUUAGUCGGGUAAGUCUUGCUGAGUAAUUGUGUACUCAGGGUUUUAUUCCCUGUUGUUUUUCAGGUUAUAUUUUUGUUCUGUUGUGGAUGGUGCUAAGUGCCGGUGGGCUCGGCCUUCUUAUAUAAGUAUAUCCCAUCUUUAGCUUCUUUAUUGAGGACUGUCACUUAAGCUAGCAUGUAUUUUAAAACUUAUAAAUGUUUUAUACAUUCAAAUUGUAAUAUUUUUGAAUCAAAUUCUCUUGUAAUCACUCCAAUGAUAUAUUGUAAUAUAGUAUAACUUGUAAAUGUUGUAACUUGUAAUCAUUUUGUAAUAAAGAAUUUAUUUCCGCUGCAAGUGUUUGUAUGUGAGUUGUAUUUACUUAAUCCUGCGAUCUUGG